UCUGGGAUAGCUCAGUUGGUCAGAGCGCCGGUCUGUGGAACCGGAGGCGAAGGUUCGAUCCCUUCUCCCAGGA
rnacentral:tRNA from 1 species